UUGUUUUUUUAACUAGUGUACCACCUAACUAAUCACAUUUAAAGCCAACCAAGUUAACUCUAAUCCUUUCUCCUAUAAAUACAAUUUAUAAUCAGCCUCUUUUCCACUUUAACAACCCUCAAAACACUCUCAAAAUUCACUCUAAAUCACUCAAAAAUUUCCAGCUUUGAGCAGAAAGUUUUAGCCAUUCAAAGCUGAGGAUGAUGAUGCUAUGAAAUGAAGUAGCGUUGAUGCCUAGAUACACAUAUAGACGUUUAGGCUGAGGAUGAUGAUGCUAUGAAAUGAAGUAGCGUUGAUGCCUAGAUAC
rnacentral:lncRNA from 1 species